UACAGAGGUCCCAAGCGUUGUUCGGAUUCAUUGGGCGUAAAGGGUGCGUAGGCGGCGCGGUAAGUCGGGUGUGAAAUCUCGGAGCUUAACUCCGAAACUGCAUUCGAUACUGCCGUGCUUGAGGACUGGAGAGGAGACUGGAAUUUACGGUGUAGCGGUGAAAUGCGUAGAUAUUGGGAGGAACACCAGUGGCGAAGGCGGCUCACUGGACCGGUACUGACGCUGAUGCGCGAAAGCGUGGGGAGCAAACGGG
rnacentral:rRNA from 1 species